UUGCUGCCGCCGCCUCUCCGCCUCCCCCUACCCUGGCUGCGCCUCGCCAUCGAUCUCCUCCGCCAUCCCUCAAGCACGCCUACUACUGGCUGACCUGAAGGCAAGAUGGUGAGAGAUCCAGGCGCUGGAGCCGGACCUCCACUUCUCGGCGUGGAGAUGGAGGAAGCCGGAGGGGGUCCAUGGCGAUGCUGGAUGAGACGCUGCUGGAGGUGGUGCGGUCCAGGGACACACACGGCGGGGGGUGGUGAGGAGCGUGAUGCGCGGGUGUUCGUGCAGGUUUACUUCUCCCUCUUCUCUCUUUUCUCUUUGCUCUCACUCUCGUCUCUCCUCUUUAUCUCUUGGUAGAUGGCGCCGGCUACAGGGAGCGGAUGAGGAAGCGGUGUGAUGCAAGGAGGUUGGCCGCCAUUGCCGCCACGAGAUCGGCACCAGCUGUAUCUCGCCCAGAUCAGAGACGCUUCGAUGUGGCUGACUGCGCCCCCUUGGCGCCCAGGAAUGUAUCUCCCAAAGACGCCCGGCACCGCCAAGAACCCUAGCAGCGGUGGUGAUUGUAGAUCGGGCACCCCAGCGUCUUCCUGAUUCCCUCCCUCUCAGCUCCUGAACUGCCUCUCGUCGGGCUCGGGUUCAGACGUUGGGAAAGUUGUUGGGUCUGCAGCUCUUAUCUUGAUCCGUUCGUCCAAUAUAUAUUUGGGAGAUGCAAUUGCUAGAAAGCCACAAAGGAAGGCACUUAAUGUUGAGCUCAAAGUUGACUCUCGUGAUGUUGCUGUUUAUUGGUGGAGGGGUGGAACAUUGUCUCAUCAAGGGUUUCAUUGGAAGAGGUUAUCUCAGUCAUUAGCCUCCAAAUGUGCUUGGCAAGGUUGUAUCUCCAAUCGUCCGUCAGCUUCCCAAUUCGCUGUUUAUGAUGUAGUCUCAGCUGGACACAAGAAAAUUCGCACCAUAGUGUAUCCCAAUGGUUCACAGUUGGCCAGGAGGCUCAAAUACAUAGCUUGGUGAGCUGCCGUGGAAUUGGCACAUAAUGUGUCCCAGCUCAUCCUGCAGGAUACUUAACCGAACAUGUGCCAUGUGUUCUUCGGAUACCUGAUCUGCAAAGUUCCAGUUUGUGGUAUAUAAAGAGUUAAACGCCCAAGCGAUUAUGUGUGCGUAUGUCCCUUUAAAGCUAUGGAUAUUUCUGUAGGUCUUAGCACAGGUACUCAUUUGACAACACUGCUUGAAUGAUUAAAAUAGUUAUAUGCUUCAGACUGGCAAUUCACAAGCAGACUAUAUAAAGUAAAAUCUAGAUAUUACUCAGGUCAGGCUCCCCCAAAAUCUUUAUUCACGAAAUUCCUAUGUUCUUGGAUUCCCUCAUGCAUGCUCACAUAUGUAGAAGUACAAAGCAGUCAAAUUUCACAUGCGAAGUGACAAAGAUGACGCCGGUGAAUCGCAGGCUAGACGACAGCCGGGGCGAGGCCUCUAGGGUGUCUGUUGUGAACAGCGAUCAGGACACGACAACCACCAUUUGUAGGGUGGCUGCCGGUGAGGGCAAUACAUGAGGAACACCUUCCACCCAGUAGUAGCACCAAGAAGGCUGAGGAGAUAUUUCUGAAGGUGAGCAUUGAUGGUGUGCCCUACCUCAGGAAGGUCGACAUCCGAAUGCACAAGGGGUACAGGGAGCAGCUCCGAGAGGCACUGUAUGUGCUCUUCUCUGCCAAGUCCUUUCCUGCCUAACGGGCCGGUGACCAGCUCACCUUCUCCUGCUUGUGGAAACUGUGCCCUGGGAGUAUAUUACCAUCAAUUGUAUUUAUGAAGUUAUACCUUCUUACAUGAGUGCAAGGGGCUUUUAUCGUAUUUUGAUGUGAUCCUGCACUCCACAUAAUGCAAAUGCAAUUCAGGUUGUGGAAUCUUUAUCUCA